rnacentral:rRNA from 1 species
CAGCUCUCCGAGUGGUAGGGAUGAUUAUUGGGCCUAAAGCAUCCGUAGCCGGCUCUGUAAGUUUUCGGUUAAAUCUGUAUGCUCAACAUACAGGCUGCCGGGAAUACUGCAGAGCUAGGGAGUGGGAGAGGUAGACGGUACUCGGUAGGAAGGGGUAAAAUCCUUUGAUCUAUUGAUGACCACCUGUGGCGAAGGCGGUCUACCAGAACACGUCCGACGGUGAGGGAUGAAAGCUGGGGGAGCAAACCGGAUUAGAUACCCGAGUAGUCC